rnacentral:misc_RNA from 1 species
UGAUGCGUAACAAGACAUCUGAAAAUAUUUUCUUUAGCAUCUGAGCACAUAGAGCUUAAACUGCCAGUUAAUGGAACAACUUAAAGGUCCAAGGCAGUCUACUCUUUAUACGUCAACAGAAAUUUAAUCCUGCUACUUGCGAUUCUCAGGAAUUGAUUUGGGAUGUAAGCUUUUACGUUUCAUUUAUCAUGUCAAUAACUGGAAUUACAUAGCAUUGUAUCAAAGCUUUAACUCUCAAACAUUCCCUCAUCUGAUAAUCCAGGAGAUUUAGUACCAUUUACAAGUGGUUGAUUUGAAAUGUCAUUCAAGUCACUUAAAAUGCUGUAAUCAAAGUCGUCGUCGUCAUCCUCAUCCUCAUUUCUGUGAUCCCCAUCCGAAUCUUCAUCCUCUCUUUGCUUCAUUCCCUUUGAACGAGAUUCUCUUUGCAUCCGCUGCUUGAUGGCAUCUUCAUAAGACAUUUCAUACCACACAGUACCCUUGCCCACGAUAGAUUUGUUGUGAGCAUCUGUCAUUCUCUCUUGCUUACUCUUUUCUGAGUUCUUUGGUUCUCCCCAGUAAUCAUAUCGGUAUAAAGGAUUAUCAGGAUCAUACUGAUCCUUCCCAAAAUAGCUUGCUGGCUUAUACCUCCCUGGUUCUUCCAAUGGCAAACCAAGAGCUUGGCGGCAGCUGAUGUCUCUGAUCAAAGCUUCUCUUUCCUCAUAUGAUCGACGCCAAUGCAUUAAAUCAUACUCAUCCAUUUCGAUAUUUCGCCUCAGCUUGGCAAUUUUAUAAUUUUCUCCUCUUUCCUGUGCUUCCUUCCUUAGUUUAUUGUGAAGCUCUCGCUCAGCUAACGCUGCUUCCAAGUCAAGUUCUUUAACACUUUGUUUCAUAAUUAUUUUUGGCAAUAAGGUUUUCUUGUAAUGAGCUGUGGUAUAUUCAACACUAUUUUGUUCAUCAAAAUCUUCAUCAUCAGUUAAUUCAGAUAGUUUUUUACCCUUGUAUUUCUCAGGACUAGUUUCCCAAUCAUCCAAAAUCAUUUGCUCAGCAACAUGGAUUUGCCACAACUUCUCAACAUAAGGGUGAUUUGAUAGUAGUGGUUCCUCUUCUGGUUUUGCUCCUGGAUCUUUUCUAGGAACAGGAGGUCUUCUACAAUCACGCCGUAAUUCAUCUGGGUUGGUAUCCUCAUCACGAUGAAAGAUUGGGGGAAAUUCAAAUCUGUUGAAGAUAAGGUGAUCUAUGUUAGGCCAUACAAAACGCAUUUCAAUAGGGAAUCGAAAACGGUACGGAUCUCGCUUUGCCAGAAUUUCUACAAAAACGUGCAUGCCAACUUUUAUGUGAUGGCGGAUCCAAUACCAAUCAUUUCCUCUGAUAGGAACCCACCUGAACAAAUAAGUAUACAUAAAUCUAGCUGGAAUAUUUACAUGCUUUAAAAUAUUAAUUAUUUCCAAGGAAAUUUAUCUAAAAAUGUUGCAAAUGAGUAGGAAGUAAAAGAUCAAAUGCUAGGCACUGGAAACAAUCCGUCCUUCCAGGAAACUAAAAAUUGAUUUAUGCUAUGAAAUACCAAAACAGGUGAUGAUACUUGCCCAUCAUGUACACCUCCGAUAUCAACAAAGGCUCCUUGAUAUAGAUGUAUAGUGGUCACUAUUCCCGCACAAAUCUGCAUCAACAUUACCCAGAAUUCCCAUUAGGAUGACUUACAAAAGUCUAAUGCAUGUGACCUUUUAGCAGUGCAAAGAAGAUUUAUCUUCAACUUGUAGGCCAUUUUCAUAUGCGUGUAGAUCACAGUAUCGCAAUAGAGUCAGUCCAGAUACAGGCUAACGUAUAUAUCUGCAGUAGUGUUCCAGCUAAAAGAAGUCAACUUAGGGAGAAUACCAAACGGAAUCAAUUCAAUCAUGGUCCUCUUGUUUAAUCUAUAUAAAUAAAGUCAAGGUGGAAGCCGGUGCCGACUACUCCAUACAUGUGGUAUUAAAGCAAAGGCAACAUUAACUUAUGAAUAACACUAUUGUGUCAGAAAGAUAGUGAAUAAGGGAAACUCACAUCUAAGAAGAUGUUUCUUGUUACAAGAGAGGUACAAUUAUUUGAAGCAAACUUCAAGAGAACACUCUAGGAAAAGAAUCAGCUCGAGAAUUUACCUGCCCUGGGUAAUAAAAUGGAAGUUCGUACAUGCCCUCUUUGUAGUCUUUUCCUCUUUUCCUUCUACCAGGAUAAUAAUCUUGGUCUUGCUUAUAAGAUUCCUCUUCUAAUCUAUCCUUAUUUGCAGCAACCCAUUCAUUGUAUUGCUUCAGAAACAUCUUAUACCUAUCCAAACACAUCCCUUCAGUAUCAGUAGUUUCCAUACUGUCCAAUUCCUCCACCACCACUCUGACGGACAGCAACUUGUGCGCUUCCCUUAUAAACUCCAGCUCCUUCCUAUCGACCUCCCAACCUCUGGGAGGCCAAUCUCUAGGGGGCACGUGCCUCAAAACCAAAGGCCCCGCCCAAAUCGUCUCGAGCUUUUCCGGAAUCUCCCCCUUGAUCUCGAACUGCUUCCUGUACCACUCGUCUUCGGUCAAUCCCAUUUCUUUAAUCUUUUUGAGUCGGUACUUUGGAGAAAGCAUUCUGAAAGCUUCGAUGGCUUCCGGCGACUGGAGCGGAACCUCUUCGCCUUCAUUGAGGGACUUGCGGGCGAAGUCGGCUUCGGGAGUGAGAAUUUCCUCCCAGGGGGCCCAUCCUCGCUCGAUCCAGUUCUUACGGCGCCAUUCCUCUUCUUUUGCGCUGUCUCUGGGACCGAAUGUUUGGACAAAGGUGUCGUCCACAGGGAAUUCGUCGGAGCUGAAGCAUUUUGGAGGUGUUGAGGCGGUGGUGGAGGAGGAUGAUAUAGUUUGGGAGGAAAAAGGAUGGUAAAUGCAGUGGUGGUGACGGUGGGAACGGUGGUUAUGGGUAGUGUUUAGGGGUUUGGGUAAAGAGAAGAGAUAAGAGGUCUGGAGGACUUGCAUUUGGUGGGAAUGGCUGUGGAUCU